AGCACCGUCUGUGUUGCUCUCUUCAAGAAGCAGAAGCAAACUUUAGAAUUCAGCGGCAUGACAAAUUCCUGCUUCAGACACAGCUAGGUUCCCUUUGACAGGCUUUAAGUAAUAUGUUCUCCGUGUGCUUGAUCUGACACUAAGCUGCCCUGAAAAUAGCAGGCCGAGUCCACUAGCAAGAAUCACAUCAGACAACCUUGUAAAAAAAUCUCAAUGUCUCUCCCAAAUAUACUUUUCACUCCUUAGGUAAAUACGUGAAGCAAUUUAAUUUCUUUUUAUAUGUUGCUCAGCAGUACAUGGAAACCAAGCAGAGGUGGGGGCUGUGCUGUGGGUGUUUUCCUGCUGUAGCCUCACCUUGCUGCUGAGCACAGAGUAGGAGCCUGCUGGGUGCCAGGUUUGGAUGUUUUAAUCUCUGAGUGGCUCCUACGACGUCUUCACGCGCUGCUUGGACAAUGAAAGGAACCAAUAUUUGCGAUGGUGCCAACGCGGCCGUUCCAUGUUCUGUCUGCUUUAUGAGUGCCUCGCACAGAGGCUAUGGCAAAAACAACACCAUGGAGUUACCUGGGGGGAUUCAUGCAGUGGAGCUGUGCAGACGGAUGUGGUCUCCCCUUGAGGCGUGUGCGGUCGCACUGCAGUUGGUAGAGGAGAAAUGGCAACCAGAGUUAGCUGCAGAUGAUUUAUGGGCAUGACUACUUGCCUUUUAUUUUAGUGGGAGUUGAAUGGAUGUUUGGGUGCUUAACACUACUCCAACAUUUUUGCAGGCUGAUUAAUCCACAAAAAGCUUGUAAUUAUCUGAGUGUUUCCCUCUGGACUUCUUAGCAUGUGUUGGUGUCUGGCUCUCUCUGUAGCAUAUGCUAUCCAUUUCCCAAAUCUAUUACAAUCCAAUAAAAGAUAACUUAUGCAGAGUCAGACUGCACGACUACUCUCUUUCAUGUGCAGUGUGGUCUUUGUUUAUCAUGUCAUUUGUUAAGUUACUUGGGUAAAAAUGCCAUGGCAACACAAUGCAAUGCUUGCAGAUAAUGAAAUGAUGUACUAAUUACUGAACAGCAUAUACUAAUUAAAGACACAUUUUAGUUCAACAAUUUCAUCUCUUGCUGCAUGAUGAAAAGACAGGAAAAAGGCAGCAGUUGCAAUAGUGCAACAAUGAUUCAGGUUGGCUAGCUGACGAAAUGUGUGCAAGACAGCAAGCUAUGUGCUGCGUGCCUUCUACUGAUCUUAGGAGAGUCAAUGCAGAAACAGUUCUUUCUGAAAACGCUUUGAAUCAAACACUUCCCUUGACCCAUCAAAUUUUCACACCUUUAUAUUCCUAAUAAAGGUACCUUGUGACCAACAGAUAAUGUUUAUUCACCCACCAGUUGGCGCAACUUGUUCUCUGAAGGCCAGGUUUGGUGGCAAUGUGUGUUGACUUGAUUGAUACCCAUUCACUUAAAUUAGUGCUGAACCUCCAACUGCAGCUGUAUUAAAGGCUUUCUGGAAUUGGAGAUGUUUAUGUUCUGGUAGAAGCAGUUUGUUUUUCUUUCCUGACAACAAAUUAAG
ensembl:lncRNA